rnacentral:rRNA from 1 species
UACAGAGGUCCCAAGCGUUGUUCGGAUUCACUGGGCGUAAAGGGUGCGUAGGCGGUCGGGUAAGUCUGAUGUGAAAUCUCACAGCUUAACUGUGAAACUGCAUUGGAUACUAUUCGGCUUGAGAGUUGGAGGGGGGACUGGAAUUCUUGGUGUAGCGGUGAAAUGCGCAGAUAUCAGGAGGAACACCGGUGUGGAAGGCGGGACUCUGGGCCGAUACUGACGCUGAGGAGCGAAAGCGUGGGGAGCAAACAGG